rnacentral:lncRNA from 1 species
CCCCACAUCCUGACACAGGCAGCCCUGAGCUGGUGGAUUCUAAUGUUAUCAGUUAUUGAAUGGCUGCAACCAUGAGACUGACUGACCAAAACUGAGGACCUGGACUUCAGAGCCCCUGCUUUUGACCAAGAGACCCUCCAGCUGAGAGCUUGGAUUUACAAGAAUGUUAGAUGUGAAUACUAGAACACAUGAGCCCAAUUGCAUUUCGUGUCUCCAUCUUCGACUGUCUAGUGUGUGAGCCGGUUGCUUUUAACAACCCCUGAGUCAGUCUAGUGAAGAGAACCUCUUAGCCAAGGUUAAUUAUCAUCACCGAAAUCACCAUGGCGUAAGUCUUAUGCUUUCAAUAAGGAAUUGGUGGUGAUUCCUGAAGGCAAAGAUCCCAGCCAGCUGAGACUGGGACUGAUCAGAAGCAUCCAGAGUAGCCACUCAGGAGUGGAGAAGCCUCUUCCUGCUUAGUGUCACUGGGCAAGCACCAAUUUGAGAAAACAGUGAGUACUAUUUUUAGGAUCAAAAAAGACUAGGGAAUUGUUCUUUCAUUGAGUGGAGAAGAGAUUGGGGGAGGGAAAAGAGAAAUGUGCAAGGAAAGGGAAGAGGGGGAGUU